UCUGUCCCUAGAUCUGUGUGUGGGUGUUGUGUCACAUGUGCGUCAGUAGGUGGCAGAGAGGAGAGAGACUAUGUCUAAGCUCAGUGUUCUGGCCUGUGAACAGCUGAAUGAUUAAGAGCAUCAGUGA
ensembl:snoRNA